rnacentral:rRNA from 1 species
ACGGAGGAUCCAAGCGUUAUCCGGAAUCAUUGGGUUUAAAGGGUCCGUAGGCGGGCUAAUAAGUCAGUGGUGAAAUCUCCCGGCCCAACCGGGAAAUGGCCAUUGAUACUGUUAGUCUUGAAUUAUAAGGAAGUAACUAGAAUAUGUAGUGUAGCGGUGAAAUGCUUAGAGAUUACAUGGAAUACCAAUUGCGAAGGCAGGUUACUACUUAUGGAUUGACGCUGAUGGACGAAAGCGUGGGUAGCGAACAGGAUUAGAUACCCUGGUAGUCCACGCCGUAAACGAUGGAUACUAGCUGUUGGGAGCAAUUUCAGUGGCUAAGCGAAAGUGAUAAGUAUCCCACCUGGGGAGUACGGUCGCAAGAUUA